rnacentral:rRNA from 1 species
UACGUAGGUGGCAAGCGUUGUCCGGAAUUAUUGGGCGUAAAGCGCGCGCAGGUGGUUCCUUAAGUCUGAUGUGAAAUCUCCGGGCUCAACCGGGAGAGGCCAUUGGAAACUGACAGGCUGGAGGGCAGUAGAGGUAGGCGGAAUUCCGGGUGGAGUGGUGAAAUGCGUAGAGAUCCGGAGGAACACCAGAGGCGAAGGCGGCCUACUGGGCUGCACCUGACGCUGAGCCGCGAAAGCCAGGGGAGCGAACGGG